rnacentral:rRNA from 1 species
AUUGAACGCUGGCGGCAGGCUUAACACAUGCAAGUCGAGCGAGCGGCGGACGGGUGAGUAAUGUCUGGGAAACUGCCUGAUGGAGGGGGAUAACUACUGGAAACGGUAGCUAAUACCGCAUACCAUCAGAUGUGCCCAGAGUGGAUUAGCUAGUGGGUGGAGUAAUGGCUCACUUAGGCGACGAUCCCUAGCUGGUCUGAGAGGAUGACCAGCCACACUGAGACUGAGACACGGUCCGGACUCCUACGGGAGGCAGCAGUGGGGAAUAUUGCACAAUGGGCUCAAUCCUGAUGCAGCCAUGCCGCGUGUGUGAAGAAGGCCUUCGGGUUGUAAAGCACUUUCAGCGGGGAGGCGUUACUCGCAGAAGAAGCACCGGCUAACUCCGUGCCAGCAGCCGCGGUAAUUC